rnacentral:rRNA from 1 species
UACGUAGGGCGCAAGCGUUAUCCGGAAUUACUGGGCGUAAAGCGUGCGCAGGCGGUCUUGUAAGUCUGACGUGAAAGCCCCGGGCUCAACCUGGGAAUUGCGUUGGAGACUGCAAGGCUUGAAUCUGGCAGAGGGGGGUAGAAUUCCACGUGUAGCAGUGAAAUGCGUAGAGAUGUGGAGGAACACCGAUGGCGAAGGCAGCCCCCUGGGUCAAGAUUGACGCUCAUGCACGAAAGCGUGGGGAGCAAACAGG